UCGUGGAGUGACUUGUCUGCUUAAUUGCGAUAACGAACGAGACCUUAACCUACUAAAUAGCCAGGCUAGCUUUGGCUGGUCGCCGGCUUCUUAGAGGGACUUUCGGCUCAAGCCGAAGGAAGUUUGAGGCAAUAACA
rnacentral:rRNA from 1 species